CCUACGGGUGGCAGCAGUGGGGAAUCUUGCACAAUGGGGGAAACCCUGAUGCAGCAACGCCGCGUGAGUGAAGAAGUAUUUCGGUAUGUAAAGCUCUAUCAGAAGGGAAGAAGAUAGACGGUACCUGACUAAGAAGCCCCGGCUAACUACGUGCCAGCAGCCGCGGUAAUACGUAGGGGGCAAGCGUCAUCCGGAUUUACUGGGCGUAAAGGGAGCGUAGACGGGUGUGCCAGGCUGAAGUGAAAGCCCGUGGCUCAACCGCGGAACUGCUUUUGAAACUGUAUAGCUAGAGUACUGGAGAGGCAGGCGGAAUGCGUGGUGUAGCGGUGAAAUGCGUAGAUAUUAGGAGGAACACCAGUGGCGAAGGCGGCCUGCUGGACAGAAACUGACGUUGAGGCUCGAAAGCGUGGGGAGCGAACAGGAUUAGAUACCCUAGUAGUC
rnacentral:rRNA from 1 species